rnacentral:pre_miRNA from 1 species
UUAGCUCAUAUUUGUAUGGAAUGGGAUCGUUUGCGUAGGUUUGCCGCUAGGGGCGCUGUUCCAACUGCAUACAAAAUUGGGUUA